GUGACUUGAUAUGACUGAUAUGACCCACGAUGUGAGAGAUGGCGGACUGCAACCAAGUUUUCAACAAUAAAUAGCGGGCGUAUGACUAGAGAGUUCACCACAUAGAAUCAGUCUGAAGAUUGCUCAAGGUACCGUGCACGUCCUAAAUCUAUUCAGAAUGCUGCGCCGUCUGGUGAUAGUCUUCGCUGUCCUGCUUCCACUAGUGUGGUCAUACAGGCACAGAUUUAGUCACCCACCCAAGUACCUGGUAAAGCCUCGGACACGUCAAUACUACGUGGCCGAUGACUCGGACGUGUUCUCUUCAGGCGACGGACAAGAUCAACGCGGGGUAAACUUUCAACCUAGGUUGAAGAACAACAGAAGGUUCAAUGCAGCAGACAACAACUUGGAUCGAGACAAGACAACCAGGUACACCGGUCGCCGUUACGCUUACUUCAAUCCAUGCUAAGCUACAAUUCUCGUCGGCUUUGAAGUUGAGCUGUUCUCGAAAAUAAAAUGCUUUAAAAAUUGA